rnacentral:rRNA from 1 species
CGUAGGAGGCGAGCGUUAUCCGGAUUUACUGGGCGUAAAGCGCGUGCAGGCGGUGCGAUAAGUCGUGCGUGAAAGCUCCCAGGCUUAACCGGGAGAGGGCGUGCGAGACUGUCGGACUAGAGGCAGGUAGGGGCAAGUGGAAUUCCGGGUGUGGUGGUGAAAUGCGUGGAGAUCCGGAGGAACACCAGAGGCGAAGGCGACCUGCUCGGCCUUGCCUGACGCUCAGACGCGAAAGCAUGGGGAGCGAACGG